rnacentral:rRNA from 1 species
AUUGAACGCUGGCGGCAGGCCUAACACAUGCAAGUCGAACGGUAACAGGAAACAGCUUGCUGUUUCGCUGACGAGUGGCGGACGGGUGAGUAAUGUCUGGGAAACUGCCUGAUGGAGGGGGAUAACUACUGGAAACGGUAGCUAAUACCGCAUAACGUCGCAAGACCAAAGAGGGGGACCUUCGGGCCUCUUGCCAUCGGAUGUGCCCAGAUGGGAUUAGCUAGUAGGUGGGGUAACGGCUCACCUAGGCGACGAUCCCUAGCUGGUCUGAGAGGAUGACCAGCCACACUGGAACUGAGACACGGUCCAGACUCCUACGGGAGGCAGCAGUGGGGAAUAUUGCACAAUGGGCGUAAGCCUGAUGCAGCCAUGCCGCGUGUAUGAAGAAGGCCUUCGGGUUGUAAAGUACUUUCAGCGGGGAGGAAGGGAGUAAAGUUAAUACCUUUACUCAUUGACGUUACCCGCAGAAGAAGCACCGGCUAACUCCGUG